GACGAACGCUGGCGGCGUGCUUAACACAUGCAAGUCGAACGGAAAGGCCCUGCUUUUGUGGGGUGCUCGAGUGGCGAACGGGUGAGUAACACGUGAGUAACCUGCCCUUGACUUUGGGAUAACUUCAGGAAACUGGGGCUAAUACCGGAUAGGAGCUCCUGCUGCAUGGUGGGGGUUGGAAAGUUUCGGCGGUUGGGGAUGGACUCGCGGCUUAUCAGCUUGUUGGUGGGGUAGUGGCUUACCAAGGCUUUGACGGGUAGCCGGCCUGAGAGGGUGACCGGCGACAUUGGGCCUGAGAUGCGGCGCAGACUCCUACGGGAGGCAGCAGUGGGGAAUAUUGCACAAUGGGCGGAAGCCUGAUGCAGCAACGCCGCGUGCGGGAUGACGGCCUUCGGGUUGUAAACCGCUUUCGCCUGUGACGAAGCGUGAGUGACGGUAAUGGGUAAAGAAGCACCGGCUAACUACGUG
rnacentral:rRNA from 1 species